CUGAUUGCUGAUUGCUUGUGUUUCAAGAUGCGUUGGAUGAAAAUUAGAGUAUUGUGAAUUUUGUGAAUGUCUCCGAAACCCGGGAUCUUGAAUCUGGUGGUUGGACGCGCCGAGGCGAGGAAUCGACCGACGGGGAGAGACGCCGCCUGAAAGGUGAUCUGGGUGAUGAUCAGAGGGUUGGUGCGGUAAGCGAAGCACUGGUUGAGAAAUGAUAGGAGAGAAAGAAGACGAACCCUAGAAACAUUCUGUGUUAGCAUCAGCUUGUUGAUCAAGGCACUGAAGGACAGUGUAAUUCAGAAUGUAAGACCAUUGAGCGAGCUUGUCAGGAGGUGGAU